GGCUUGACGUCACCUCCCGUGCGGCGGUACCUCGUGAACCUCCCCAGGGCCGGAAGGCAGCAAGGAUAAGCGAGCUCUGCCGGGUGCACGGGAGGCCUUUC
rnacentral:SRP_RNA from 1 species